rnacentral:rRNA from 1 species
GUCCACGCCGUAAACGAUGAGUGCUAAGUGUUAGAGGGUUUCCGCCCUUUAGUGCUGAAGUUAACGCAUUAAGCACUCCGCCUGGGGAGUACGGCCGCAAGGCUGAAACUCAAAGGAAUUGACGGGGCCCGCACAAGCGGUGGAGCAUGUGGUUUAAUUCGAAGCAACGCGAAGAACCUUACCAGGUCUUGACAUCCUCUGACAACCCUAGAGAUAGGGCUUCCCCUUCGGGGGCAGAGUGACAGGUGGUGCAUGGUUGUCGU